ensembl:lincRNA
GGGGCUGCCUCCUGGGGACGCGGAGCAAGUCACCUUGGCGCUCGGGGCCGGGGCCGACAAAGACGGGACCCUGCUGCUGGAGGGUGGUGGCCGCGACGAGGGGCAGCGGAGGACCCCACAAGGCAUCGGGCUCCUGGCCAAGACCCCCUUGAGCCGUCCGGUCAAGAGGAACAACGCCAAGUACCGGCGCAUCCAAACUUUGAUCUACGACGCCCUGGAGAGACCGCGGGGCUGGGCGCUGCUGUACCACGCGCUGGUAGUUAUUCCACCACCUGCAAGUGGCUUUCAGAAUGCUAAAGCCUGCAGCCUCCCGGAGAGGGCCUAGAAGACUUCGAGACUAUGAGGAGGAAGAGUCAGAUAAACACCCAGGCACAGUCAUAUGUGCACAGAAACUUAUUGUGGCUAAUUCUCACAGGAUCCUAUGAGAUGAUUACUAUCAUUUCCACUCUACAGGUGAAGAUAGGAAGCAUUCAAGAGAUGGUCACUUGCUCAGAUCCCACAUCUGAUUUCCUGGAGUUUUACAUUGGAGGGCAGCCAUUGACAAGCCACUCGUGAAGAAUGAAUGAGCCAAGCAAGGAAGGAGUUGAUAUGAGCAGCCUUAGGAUAUCAGCUAGUGAGGCCCCACGCUGGGCCUGUGGCCACAUGUGCUUGGAAUUUCACUGUCUAGGAAAUGGACUCACAGGAAGUGGCCAUCUGUGCUGGCUGUGAGAUUAAAAAAUGCUUCUUUUACAAAUGAGGUUCAGGGAAGUGAGGUGAUUUGCUCAGGAGUUCCUGAAGUAACAGAGCUGGGCUCACACAGGAGUCCUCAGCCAUGGCUAGAACUCCCUUCAACUUGUCGUGGUUGCAUGGAGUAGAAGGUAGUAGAGGAGGCCUGGAAUGCCCUCUCCCAGGUUAGGAGUUUAAGUUACAUUUUUGACAAGUUCCCAGGGGAAGCCAUGGUCACUGGUUUGCAGACUGCACUUGGAGUAGCAAGUCUUCAAACUUUGACAUAUUAGAAUCAUGUAGGUCAAAAGCUAUCAUAAGAGAAAAAUCUGGAAGAUGCCACCUGAACUGAAGCUACCAGACUUGUGUAUACUGAGAUAAACUAACCCUACCCUUAUUUUAUUGUAAUUCAGUGCAUAUGUACAACAUCCCUCCCCAGGGUCCCACAUGACCUGAAUCUAACUUUGAAGAAAUAAUUGACAAUUUCAAACUUUAAGACAUCUUGCCAGAUACCUGGCAUGGUCUGUUACUAAGGGUCUGUGUCAUAAACCAGUCAAGAAACCAACUGACAAAAGAAGAGGACUGCAUAGCUUAAAGGAGGCUAGAGAGAUGUGACAAUCAAAUGAAGUGCCUGAUCCUUCAUUGGCUCCUGGAUUGAAAGAAAUAAGUAGGAAUGAAGGAUGUUAUUACAGGGAUAAUUAAGAAACUUGAAUAUUGACUCCUAAUUAGAUAACCUUAUAUCAAAAUUUAAUUUCUUGCUUGUGAUAAUUGCACUGUCAUCGGUUAGGUGGAUAUUCUUUUUUUCUCUUGUUGCCCCAUUUUUCAGAGAGAAGCAUGGUGCAGUGGUUAGCAGUGAGGAGUCAUAUCUGCAUCUUUCAAGUGGAUGGAAA